UACGUGAGGGGCAAGCGUUGUCCGGAUUUAAUUGGGCGUAAAGGAGCGUGUAGGCGGCCAGGUAGGUCAGCUGUGAAAACUACGACGGCUCAACCUCGAGACGCCGGUUGAAAGCCAUCUGGACUAGGAGUCCGGAAGAGGAGAGUGGAAUUCCUGGUGUAGCGGUGAAAUGACGCAGAUAUCAGGAAGAACACCCGUGGCUAAGGCGGCUCUCUAGUACGGUACUGACGCUGAGACGCGAAAGCGUGGGGAGCGAACAGG
rnacentral:rRNA from 1 species